CCGAUAUGAAGGUGUUCGUAGUUACGCUCGUGCUGGCACUCGCUGCCACCGCAUACGGUGGUUACAUAAGCAGCGGCGGCGGCGGCGGAUUCGGCGGCGGUGGUUAUGGAGGCGGAAGCAGCGGAUGGAAGUUCGGCGGCGGUGGCGGUGGUUACGGCGGCGGCGGCGGUGGUGGCGGAAAAAUCAUCAAGGUGA